rnacentral:rRNA from 1 species
CUUACCAUGCAGUCGAACGGCAGCACGGGUGCUUGCACCUGGUGGCGAGUGGCGAACGGGUGAGUAAUACAUCGGAACAUGUCCUGUAGUGGGGGAUAGCCCGGCGAAAGCCGGAUUAAUACCGCAUACGAUCUACGGAAGAAAGCGGGGGACCUUCGGGCCUCGCGCUAUAGGGUUGGCCGAUGGCUGAUUAGCUAGUUGGUGGGGUAAAGGCCUACCAAGGCGACGAUCAGUAGCUGGUCUGAGAGGACGACCAGCCACACUGGGACUGAGACACGGCCCAGACUCCUACGGGAGGCAGCAGUGGGGAAUUUUGGACAAUGGGCGAAAGCCUGAUCCAGCAAUGCCGCGUGUGUGAAGAAGGCCUUCGGGUUGUAAAGCACUUUUGUCCGGAAAGAAAUCCUGAGGGCUAAUAUCCUUCGGGGAUGACGGUACCGGAAGAAUAAGCACCGGCUAACUACGUGCCAGCAGCCGCGGUAAUACGUAGGGUGCGAGCGUUAAUCGGAAUUACUGGGCGUAAAGCGUGCGCAGGCGGUUUGCUAAGACCGAUGUGAAAUCCCCGGGCUCAACCUGGGAACUGCAUUGGUGACUGGCAGGCUAGAGUAUGGCAGAGGGGGGGUAGAAUUCCACGUGUAGCAGUGAAAUGCGUAGAGAUGUGGAGGAAUACCGAUGGCGAAGGCAGCCCCCUGGGCCAAUACUGACGCUCAUGCACGAAAGCGUGGGGAGCAA